rnacentral:tRNA from 1 species
GGCCAGUUAGCUCACUCGGUUGGAGCGUGGUGCUGAUAACACCAAGGUCGCGGUUUGAUCCCCGGUUGGUCC